ACGACCUGAAACGGUGCACGUACUACG
rnacentral:piRNA from 1 species